rnacentral:rRNA from 1 species
CCUACGGGUGGCAGCAGUGGGGAAUAUUGGACAAUGGGGGGAACCCUGAUCCAGCCAUGCCGCGUGUGUGAAGAAGGCCCUCGGGUUGUAAAGCACUUUCAGUGAGGAAGAACGCCUGGUGGUUAAUACCCAUCAGGAAAGACAUCACUCACAGAAGAAGCACCGGCUAACUCCGUGCCAGCAGCCGCGGUAAUACGGAGGGUGCGAGCGUUAAUCGGAAUUACUGGGCGUAAAGCGCGCGUAGGUGGCUUGAUAAGCCGGUUGUGAAAGCCCCGGGCUCAACCUGGGAACGGCAUCCGGAACUGUCAAGCUAGAGUGCAGGAGAGGAAGGUAGAAUUCCCGGUGGAGCGGUGAAAUGCGUAGAGAUCGGGAGGAAUACCAGUGGCGAAGGCGGCCUUCUGGACUGACACUGACACUGAGGUGCGAAAGCGUGGGUAGCAAACAGGAUUAGAUACCCCGGUAGUC